CACACAAGUAUAGUUAAUUCAUAGAUAAUUGUUUAAAAAAGUGCUACAUAAAUAGAUGUAGUAGACAUAAUAAUAAUAAUAAUAAUAAUAAUAAUAAUAAUAAUAAUAAUAAUGUGGUUUGAGUGUAAUUAAUGAACGGUGAAAUUAGUGACAGGCCCUGAUUAGUGCACACUUCUCGGAGAGUGUUUCCUCUCUCGGAUCACAGAUCGAAACUGACAGUGUCUUAUUUUUCAUCUUUAUUUUUUUGUCCUGCGUAGACACGCCCCCCUGUUAAAGGUUCACUAAAGCUUUACUCAAAAAUUUACUCAUUUACUCUUUAAUCAGCUAAAAUGAACUAAUUAAAUGACUAUAUUACAAAAUGAGUGUAAUCAAUGAAGCACAUUUACAUUUUUAACAAGUUUUAAUUAAACAUGUGAGUGGUGGUGGUGAUGAUGAUGAUGAUGAUGAUGAGGAAGAGGAAGAGGAGGAGGAGGAGGAGGAGGAGGGCAGGCCCAUGUCUCGUAUUCUUCACACCACUGAAAUCUGAUUGCUCAGACACACAGACUCCGGUGGAAUGAAGGAUAGGAAGCAUGGAUGAGUGGACGCACGGCGCGUCUGGGAGACGUCCUUCUGAAAAAAGAAAAUAGAUCAAAUAAAAAAGAGGAAUGCCGUUUAUUACAAAUAUAUAAAUAUUAAAUUCCUGAACGCUUAUACAGACAUUUAUAUAUUAUGGAAUGUAUUGGAGAGGGGAUUAAGUGCAUGUCCACCGAGUGUGUGUGUGUGUGUGUGUGUGUGUGUGCAUGUCUGUGUUUGUGUGCGUGCGCGCGUGUGCGUGCGUGUGUGUGUGUGUGUGUGUGCGCGUGUGUGUGUGUGUGCGUGCGUGUGCGUGUGUGUGUGGCGAGGCAAGAUGAGACGCGUCCCGCUUUGCUCAUGUAGCUGCAGGCGCAAUUCAGCUUUGAAUACUCGUGUAGGUGUAAAACGUGUCGAGGCAGCUGCUUUACACUGAAAACACUGUAACUGCACACACACACACACACACACACACUUACCCACUCGAAGGGCGUUUGCGGUGAAACUCUGAAGGUCUGCAUGUUUCCUCCUUAUUUAUUUAUUUUUGUAUUUUUUAAAUUCGCACACGUCCUCACCUGACCCGCCAUCUUCACUCCUGCAAACAAACACAAGAAGAUUUUUUUUUUUAAACAACAACAACAGACAAACACACUUCAGAACGCUCACCCAUGAAGAAGCUCGACCGUGUAGUUUCAUCUGCGAGAAAUUACACAAUCGAAAACAAAAAAGAGAGAGAGAAAAGGGGAAGAAGGGACGAGAAGACGAGAGGAAGUCUGCAAUCUGUUAGUGAAGAAAGAGAAGGAAGGAAAGAAAGAAAGAAAACAGUAACAGAAAUCCAGAGAUGUGCACAGCUGACCUGAAGCGCGCCGUAUCUCCUUACCUGUCUCAGGAGUAAUUUCCUGGAGGAAUCGAUGGCGGUCCACGCGGCUAUUCAUCACUAAUAAGGACGUCCGUCUCAGCGGGAACACGGCGUCCCGCUGCUCUGAGAGCUUUGCUGCUGUUUUUUAUGGACUUUUUGGAGUUUUAGAGAAGAAAAAGCCUUUGGAUUUAUUUUAAAAAAAAGAAUAUUAGUCUGACAAAACGGACAUGGAGAACCUACGGGAAAGAAGGAGAACUGCACGCGUUCACAUUCUGUCCUCCGUCCCUGGUCAUGUAGGAGUCAGAAUCUUUUUAACGUCACGUCCAGACGAACUUGUCUCACGUGGGCGUGGCUUGCCUAGCAUUUUAUUUUUAGUUCUGAUAAAAAUAUUAAUAGCUAGAUGACUUCUAAAGCUAGCUCGUUAAACACAAAUUAAACAACGCAUAAAUCAGCUGUUUGAUAUGCUGUACAUGUUACGCUCUCGGCUUUGUUAUCAGAUUAGAUUAGAUUAGAUUAGAUUAGCUACCUGUAUUUGCUUCGAACACUCACCAGAAGCAACAGCGAUCUCUGUAACCUCCUUCCAAGCUUUUAAAAAAAAAAAUAAAAAAUUCAUAACAUUUCUGUACAUAUUUAAUGAGAGGUCAUCGUGUAUGACCAGAACAAAUGAAAUGGCGGUUACAUUUUUUUCUGCAUCACAGAGUAAAAGGGAAAUAAUUGCAGGUAGGAACUAGUAGUAGUUUUGAGUGGGGAACCGAAGAAACGUCGCACCACGUGCUCCACAGGAUCGGUCCGAGGAGUCGAUCGAAAUAAUCACUUUACACCGUCAGAGACUUGAGAAAAGUUAACGAGUAACACGUUGUUCACGAGCGAAUCGACUCUUUGAAUCGCCUCUUUUAGGUGAAGCUUGAGGGUCGACUCACAUACACAGCAGUUUCCGUUUCUGUCACAGGCAAGGAAGAAUAAUUCUUCACUGGUCAAAAGAAAAAAAUGGCAUUUAUUUUUUUAAAAAUGGCAGUGAGCCGUUUGAGAUUUGAACGACUCGACUCUUAUUGGUGAGUCAAAUGAUCUGAAUCACUGAAAAUUUCCUGAAUUUCCGGUUUUAUCAUCUGAUAUGAAACACACUUAGGUUUGAUAAAAAUGGCAGACUGGAUAAUUCUCGUAUCACGACAAGUUCCUAGUCCUGAUCCACAGAAGUAAAAGGUUCCAGGAACUAAAAUCAGUCUGCGAAGUAAUUUCAAAGGCCAAAAAAGAGAGAUUUUUCUGUGUUAAUCAUAAUGUUUAAAUAACAAAAUAGUUUUUUUAUCAAGCACAUCGUCAUAGUGAUGCUGAUACGAGCGCUGUAGACGGAGAGCGCCUCCUGUUGGUGAGUCUGAGCACUACAGGCUCCACAGGACCGGGCGUGGCUGCUGGAACCAGAUGAUGAAGUCCUCUCAGUGUUUUACUGACUGAUCUGAAAUUCUGUCAUGAAUAUAUAAAUAUUAUAUAAAUAAAUUCAUGAAAGAAAUGUGACUGUACUCUGAUAUAAAAUAAAUAAAUACAAUUUCACCGUGUCAGUUAGAGCCGAGUGUAAAAAUGUGCACCCCCCGAGGUCAAAAUUAAGAGGACAACGAUAUUUACUAUCUUCAGACCUUCCUUUUCUGCCCCAAGUUUUUUCUUUUCUUUUUCUUUUUUUUAGGUCCAUCUUUAAUUGUGCUUGUGAAGAUGGAUAGACUCGUUCUGAUUAUCCCUCCAUUCUGGAGAUUGAUGCUAAUUGAAAAAAUUGGAAAAUGGUCAUUGGAGUGGGAGACUAAACGACAGAUUCCAUUAAUAACCCAAUCUGUCUCGCUAAUUUCUGUACAGAGAGAGAGAGAGAUGAGGGAGAGAGAGAGAGGGAGGGGAGAGAGAGA
ensembl:lncRNA